UUUAAAUAAUUGGACGAACUAUUUACAACAGUUAGCAACAAAAUAGUAUACAACCCUAUUUACAUGUAUGUACAACACUUUUAGAUCACUUUCGAUUCCCACGGCAAACCCUCAGGCGGGCAAGUCUACCGGCGGGCAACCUGACGUUUCUCACGUCAGUUACAAAACGUCACACCAAUGUCAUUGGAGCAUAUCGUUAUGCUCAAUGUUUAUAUGGUGAUGAAAGUGCUAAAAGUGUAAUUGCAGUUCAAUAAUCGUUGAAAUCGGCCAAAUUUUCAACGAAAAUCGAGGACAUAAACAGUGGUGGUCUUUUGCUGCCAGGAUGCAAUCUUUCUGCGAAAGAUUGACCUGCAGUAACCACCAAAUCUUCCUGGGAUCAACCAUGAAGCCAUCUUGUCUUGCAAGAUGCACUACAGAUAUGGCCAAUUUUACUAAGUGUGCCAUCCCCUCAUCGCAUCUCCACCGUCGGGGCUCAGAUAAAGGGCAAACUAUUAACCCCUUCAUCUUCCCCAGGAUCGGCCAGUGCGACUAUGGAUGGCCCAUGGUGGAAUGAAAAAGUACCUGUGACUCAUCCAAACCAACCAGAACGCAAGCGGAUUACAGGACCAGAUAUGUCGACUCCAGAGUAAAAAUGGAAGUGUUAUCCGUAACCUCUGGCUAAAGCCAACAUCUCGAACCUGCCCUUCAUUUCUGUCGGUCUAGCCUGAUCAGUAAUCAAAGUAUCUGUAAAGAAAUUAAAUAAACUUAUUUUUGAACUAUCCGAACCAACUUUGGUCCGAACUUCACUCUCCGCCUCAUCAUUACUGAGAAAUUCUUACUUUUUUCCGUUAACAUGCGUAUACGGGAGUUGAACGUAUUGCGCCCGUUGGGAUUGCUAUCAAUACCCAACGGGAAUCUGUCCUGAUGUAGGACAUUAUACAAAGUAUUGGAAUUUUCCAAUUUAAUUAUGAUUAGCAGACUGGUAUGGAUGGUAGGUAGAUUUAUCCUCACCCAACGAUCUGCGUAUUCUGUUCCGUUUUGUGCUGAUCAAUUCUAAAUGUACAAUUUACAUCAUCGGUGCGCUCUAUUGUGUGCCGAUUCAAAGCGGGAUAGAGCAAAGCAAAAAUGCCGAAAACGAUGAAUGAUUUAAUUAUUGCUGGUAGGUAUGUUAAACUUGUUGCUAUUGUAAAUAAUUUUAGAUUGGACUAUGAGAGCAAAGGUAAUGUACAUAUAAUACACAAAUCAACGUUUUACAACACUCAAGGCAAACCAUAAAUAUUGAAUUUCUUUGCGCGGAAAACAAUUUUGAGAAGCACAUAGUGUCCUCUUUUGCGAUCAGGACCUCUUAUCGCGUUUUAUCGUCACUUUCACUUUCUUUUCUUGUGGAGCAGUGGGACAGUGAAAGGGCACAAACAUUCGUGCUUUACACGAAUCCCUGCCACCUCCCGUCGGAAAAAUCCUUAGAUUUUUGAACUCUACCGAACCCUUGAUUACCUUUCGCGGACUUUUAGUUGGGCGCCAAUUGUUAC